rnacentral:tRNA from 1 species
GGAAGUGUGGGUGAGUGGCUGAAACCACCAGUUUGCUAAACUGACGAUAUCGUAAGGUAUCCGCGAGUUCGAAUCUCGCCGCUUCCG